rnacentral:lncRNA from 1 species
CCUUAUGGGAGGUGGUGACCUGGAACGACUUCCUGUAAAAACCUGCAAAUCGUGAAGCAUCUGGAACGCAACUAAAGUUCACAUUAAAAUGGUAAACCCUGUGAACACCAAAACGCUCCUGAACCCCUAAUCACAUUAGUGGAUGGGGGAUUAUGGAAAGGGCGGUAUGACGUGGGGCAUGUUUAUGCCACGGCCUCACCCCGAUAUAAUACGCGAGUGGUUCCGGGGAGGUGGGUUUUGGAGAGUUUCGCACGGGCCACUUGAUGGAUAGUUUCCCUAUCCCAACGUCCGUUAAAAAAAAAACACUUGCACGACAGCGAUACCGCUGCGAUAUAAUAUUGCAUACGUAUCGCAUGUGCAACACGGUUUGUUGAACGAGGUGAAAUUAGUAUGGCGCAGAAUUUUUUUCGGCAUAAGCAUGGCCGUUUCACAAGAGGAAGCAUCUUCCUCAAUUUUUUUAGUCGAAUUAAUAAAAAAACCGAUGGUUAAUGGAGCUAUACAGAAAAAGAGUACUGUAGAACAGACAUGACUAGUUUGGCAUGGAGAAAUAUAGCGUCUGGGGUCAAGGACACAGGUAAGUACACAAUAGAAUAUUUUUGUCAUGGUUUAUUUGCCUUUGUUUUCACAUCUUUAAAAAUAAAUUAAAAGAAACCAAUCAUUUUAUUUAUUCAUUUAUUUGUUUAAUUAUCUACCGGACACUCCUCACAGACAAACAGGAAAAAAAUUAACACGUUAUACAAAAAUAGUCAUAAUAUUUAUACAUACAGGAUAACAACAACAUAUGUGUAAAUUAUUUGAAAAUAAAAUAAUCAUUGAUAUUAAUUUUAAAACGUUCUCUACAUGAGUAAAGGUCGACAUAAUUACAAACAGAGUCACAUAGGCAAAUGGAUCUGUGAAUGGGCUCAUUGUUAGCAAAUUCCGUUUUUCGCGUUGGUUUACGUAUUUUUCUCCUAGAAGCCUCUCCGGCGCAUAAAAAGGCAGAAGCGAAAGUAGUUCUGGGGAAUCGAUUUUGUUAUCGCAUAUAUCCUUGAUGAAAAGAAUACUACAAAUUUUUCUCUUAUUAGCAAGGUAUUGUAAAUUCAGUAUUCUGCAUCUCAGCUCGUAAGAUGGCAUAGAUUCGUAAGAAAACAUUCGUCGAAGGGCAAAUUUUUUAAUUUAAUUAAUUUAAUUUAAUUUAUUUAAUAUUAGAUUGAAAACAUUAGUGCAUUAAGAUGUAAUCUUUACUUGCACAAUGAUACAAACAAAUUGCAAAAAAAUAAAAUAAAAAGUACAGAUAAUAAUUAAUAUUACAAUAUAGAUUAAGGUAAUGUAUACGUUGAAUUACAAAUCAUAUAUUCUAAAAUAAAACAAAACAAAGUUGCCUAUGUGCAACACGUUCUUCCAGGACAGUGGAAGGGAGUUCCAGAGCCUUACCGCAUUAAUAAAAACAGUCUUGAAGUGCAUAAAUAGUUAAAUCUCGGAAGAAUAGGACCUGACGAACGUGUACUCUUGGAGAACUUAAGAUUAUUGUACAGAUAUUCCGUGCUCUUCGUGAUAAAUAAUUUGAACAUAAAAAUGCAAUUACGCGCGUUCAGAACAUUUUGUAAAUCACAGGUUAGUAUAGAAUCACGUAUAGAUGAGAGAUGAUCGUAUUUCUUUAAACCAAAUACAUACCUUGUGGCAGAGUUAAUGGCGAUAUUCAAUUUUUGGAGUGAAUGAGAGUCUAAUUUGCCGUAGACGAUUUCAAAGUACGUGAUAUAAGGAACAAUUAAACUUGUAAUUAACUUUUUCUUAGUGGCUACCGGUACAUAAGGUGAAUUACUCUAAGACAUCGUAGAGUAAAAAAAUAUUUUACUCACAACUUCAUCAACAUGAUCAUCACACGCAAGUCUAGAGUUAAUAACGAAACCCAAACUCCUGGCUUUGUCAACUAAUUUAAGCUGGCUGGGACCAAUAAAUAAGGUGGGAAUAUCCGAUGCCAAAAAUUUAUCUUUGGCGACAGGUAUUACACAAGAUUUUUGAGCAUUGAGGCAAAGUAAAUUCCCCUAGACCAUGCUAAUAUUGAGCUUAAGUCCUCGUUAAGUUGUAGACAAAUAUCCUGAAUCGAUCCCAUUUUAUUAGAAACAUACAGCUGCACAUCAUCGGCAUAGGCGUGUAAGCGCGCAUGAGCGCAGGUGCUGAAAAUGUCAUUUAUGAAGAUGCUAAACAAAAGUAGGCCCAGUAUGGAUCCCUGAGGGACACCAGAGUAUAUAUGCACGAGGUUAGAACAAUUAUUGCCGAUUUUCACCUUUUGAAACCUGUCGCUCAAAUAGGUCUCUUUGAGUUUUACUGCAGUUUUGCUGAAGCUGAAAUACUUAGCUAGUUUUUCACACAAUAAAUUGUGGUUUACAGAAUCAAAAGCCUUAGAAAAAUGAAGCAGACAAAGUAGUGUUAAAUGGCCUUGAUCGAAUGGCUGACGUAUAUCGUCUAAGACUUUAACAACAGCGGUAGAACAGGAGUGACCAGCUCUGAAACCACUCUGCAGAGGGUUUA